GCGUCGACGACAUUUCCUUUGAUUGGAACUCUCUUCAGGUUUGCUCAGUUUUUGUCUCUGUCUUCGCUUUUUUCAGUUUCUCCUCUAUUAUCUGUUUAUGGCUUCUCCUCAAUUUUCAUUUGUUUAUUUAUUUCAAGCUUUUUUAAUUGUGUGAUUCAUUUCUUAUUUUCCCCCUCUUUGUUUGUUCGGUGGGGUUUUAGCUUAGGAUGCAAUUUUGGGAAUUUUCGGGUGAAGGAGGUUUAAGUGACUAGUCCUAUAUAGAUCUGUGAAACUUGUCUUUGCUUUUUUGUAGUUGAACUAAGUGAGCGGUUAGAUUCUCUUGCAACCUUAAAAAACAUUGCUUGCUUCUUUUCUGUGACUGGUACUUUUGAUCAAGUACGUGUCUGCUUCUCUGUGUUAGUGUUCUUGCUCUAUAUAUUAACUUUUUUUUAUGCAUAAACUUCUUUUGUUUGGAUAUAAUGAGCGUGUUUGAUCACAUGGAGGAAGAUCUUUGUCACGGGUUUGUUUCUUUUUGGGUUGGUUUGUUAUCCCCCCCUCCCCCUCUUUUUGGGAGUAAAAAUCAAUGAGGAUUUUGCCUCCAACCCAGAUCUUUUACUACUCGUUGAUCUGGUUAUCUUGUUUUUGUUUAUUUAUUUUUCUGAGUUUUAUUCUAAUUAUUGUUAAAAUUAUUGGGUGUUACUGGUACAGUAAAUUUUAUUUUCCCUUCCCUUUUCUGGGUGAUUGUUCAUUACGUGUAUCUGUGUUUUUCUUUCUGUUUUGAGAGGAAAUUUUGCUUUUUAUAUUUUACUUCCUUAGCGUUUAUACUUUUUUUUUAAAUAAAAUAAUUUUUUUAGCAUCUAUAUCAGCAAAUUCCUUGCUUUUUUAUUUUUUGGCUUGCAAAAAUUAGACCAUUGUUAGAACUUAGAACUAAUUCAAAGGAAAAAUAAGUGAAGAAGGAAAGGUAGCCUGUGUGAGAGGAGAGUCUGGUUACCCUAUCUGUCUCUUUUUUGCCUACAAUCGAUGAACCUUAAAUUUUUUUUAAUGAGGUUCAGCUUUUUAAUUUCUUGGUUGUGGGUUUGAUUUUCUAAUUUAUCAUUUAUAUCACAAUCCCUUUGCUGGCUUUCCUGGUGGCUGAGGUCUUGAUUGAAGGGAAAAAAUAAAAAAAAGAAAGAAAAUUCUUUGAUUAAUUUUUAUGAUACAUAUUUAAUAAUUUUAUACCUUUGAUAUUUGUUGUGUAGUGUAUUUGGAAGGGUAGAAGGUUGGUGAUGGGGCCAUGGCAAUCCAUAUUUCCACACCCACCUUUUAUUCUUUUUGUUUAUUUGUUUUUUUCAGGCUUUUCUUUUCCUUCACUUCAACUACUGUUGUCGACACCUUUUGUUUUUCCACGAUUUUGAGUGUCCAUUUCUUGAAAAGAUCUUACUCGACCUUUUGCUACUCUUUCUCUGGUAUGUCUUACUUACCCAGAUUUUCUUUUCUUCUUCUUUAGUUUUGUUUUUUGGUCCCCUUGAUAUAAUUGAGUGGAUUUCUAAAUUUUACGUGUUCUUCACUUCAUUGUUGGACUCAGUAGUCUGAUUUUAGUAAGAGAUAUUGAGAAGAUCUGGGUGCUGUAAUGAUUAGUGAAGUAGUUUCAAUCUAUCUGAUUGGUCUGCAAUAUAAGGAAUUUAGUAUUGAAAUACAGUUUCUUGUUUGAUAUGCAAAAUUUUUCUUCUGGGUAUUGCAGUUCAAUUGCUCUUGAUGUGUUCUAUAUUUCAUUAUUUGAUAGAGCGAAUUUCUUCUGGAGUACCCUUUUGUUUUGUUUUGUUUUGUUUUUUGAGAGAGAGAGAAUUUCUCUUUUGUUGUUUGAGGGAAAAAGGUAGAAUUGGGAUUGGUGUAAGAGAAUGGAAUAGUCAAAGAUGGCUAUAUUUCACAAAUCGGUAGUUAGUUUCCAUUUUCAAUUGGUUGAAGUCUAAUUAUAUGCUGAUAUUAAAAUUUUCAGCUCUGCAAUUGAGUUGCUUCUGAUAGAAAUUGUAAUCUCUUUCCAAUUAUUUUAUUAUUUAUGAUUUGUGGUUCAUUUGGUUAAAAAUUUUAUUGCUCAGCAUCUGUUUGAUAGAUCAGAAAAGGAAAGAAAAAUUGCUUAACAAUAUAAUUUAUGCGCUUAUUAGUCUGUAAAAACAUUUUAGCUUUGGGAACUUGUGCAGAAUGCUAAUGUUGGUUGUAUUGAUAAUGCUAUCAGGUUCAUGAUAAAUUGGUUAAACUCAGCUGAUAUCAGGAAUGGGUUCUGGUGAUUGGUUUAAG
rnacentral:lncRNA from 1 species